rnacentral:tRNA from 1 species
GUUAGGGUGGCAGAGCCUGGUAAUUGCAAAAGACCUAAGCCCUUUUAAGCAGAGGUUCAAAUCCUCUUCCUAACU